rnacentral:piRNA from 1 species
UGCAAGGAUGUUUAACCCUGGUAAGAGCUA